rnacentral:rRNA from 1 species
UACGUAGGGACCAAGCGUUGUUCGGAUUUACUGGGCGUAAAGGGCGCGUAGGCGGCAACUCAAGUCAGCUGUGAAAUCUCCGGGCUUAACUCGGAACGGUCAGCUGAUACUGUUUUGCUAGAGUGCAGAAGGGGCAAUCGGAAUUCUUGGUGUAGCGGUGAAAUGCGUAGAUAUCAAGAGGAACACCUGAGGUGAAGACGGGUUGCUGGGCCGACACUGACGCUGAUGCGCGAAAGCCAGGGGAGCAAACGGG